rnacentral:tRNA from 1 species
GCCCGUUUAGCUCAGUGGUAGAGCGCGCCACUCGUACAUUACGUGCUAUGGUGAGGUCGGUUGUUCAAUCCAGCCAAUGGGCA